rnacentral:rRNA from 1 species
UUGGGAAUCUUGGACAAUGGGGGAAACCCUGAUCCAGCCAUGCCGCGUGAGUGAUGAAGGCCUUCGGGUUGUAAAACUCUUUCGACGGGGACGAUAAUGACGGUACCCGUAGAAGAAGCUCCGGCUAACUUCGUGCCAGCAGCCGCGGUAAUACGAAGGGGGCUAGCGUUGUUCGGAAUUACUGGGCGUAAAGCGUGCGCAGGCGGUUUUCCAAGUCAGUGGUGAAAGCCCGGAGCUCAACUCCGGAACUGCCAUUGAAACUGUUAAACUCGAGUACGAGAGAGGUGAGUGGAAUUCCCAGUGUAGAGGUGAAAUUCGUAGAUAUUGGGAAGAACACCGGUGGCGAAGGCGGCUCACUGGCUCGUAACUGACGCUCAUGCACGACAGCGUGGGGAUCAAACAGGAUUAGAUACCCCCGUAGUCC